UACGAAGGGGGCUAGCGUUGCUCGGAAUCACUGGCGUAAAGGGUGCGUAGGCGGGUUUUUAAGUCAGAGGUGAAAUCCUGGAGCUCAACUCCAGAACUGCCUUUGAUACUGAAAGUCUUGAGUAUGGGAGAGGUGAGUGGAACUGCGAGUGUAGAGGUGAAAUUCGUAGAUAUUCGCAAGAACACCAGUGGCGAAGGCGGCUCACUGGCCCAUAACUGACGCUGAGGCACGAAAGCGUGGGGAGCAAACAGG
rnacentral:rRNA from 1 species